CUGGCCAUCUUACAUGGAGUGAGUCUGCCAAGAACAAGGCUAAGAAGCAAAUGAUGUCAUGAAAUGCAGAAAUAGAAUACUGACAAUAUUGUUUUUAAAACCUUGGAUUUUCAAUUAUGAUUACACAGAGUGUCUGUGGUGCUACUGGUUAAAGACACAGGUGAUACCAACUGCAAAGCCCAACUUCUCACUUAAAGGAACUGCUUUAUGGCCUCCUUACUUCACUUCAGGAUUGGUCUGCAAAGUGUUGCCUGAGCUGAAGACUGGAUUGCAAACAACCCUUCAGACAAGGGGAAGAUGCCCAAUUCUAACCAUGAAGGGUGGGCCUUCAUGGGAGCCUGGUAUUAGUGUCCUUCCUCAGAGAGCCUAUCACAGUGAGGUGUGAACUCUGGCCUCAUAUUUAGAGAAAAGAGACACCUGGAAGAUCUCUCAUUAACAACUGAACCUCAACCUGGAAAUGACAUAGAUUAUAUCUGCUCACACAACUCACUGUUUAAACCCAGUCAUGGCCAACCAGAGAGGAAUCAGGGAGUAUAAGCCUACUGUGAAUCUGGGAGAAGAGCUGGAAAUAUUCUGUGAGUAGUCUGAGUGAUUGUCACAAUGAUCUAAGUUAGAAAGAGACAAACAGAAACAAGAAAAAAAUUAUGUCCCCAGGUAUGAGGUGAGAAGGCUGUGAUCUAGUAGUGUAAAAUUAAUUCUAGAGUUAGGAAAAUGUAGCUUCAGGAAGGUGUUUCAUAGGAAGUAAUUUUAGGAUUUUAAGGAGGGCCACAUAUUCUGAAAUGUUUAUGAAUCUGAUAGGGUUCUUAGCAUCCAAAGAGUGAAGAUAAGUACUCUGGAAGGCUGAGGCAAGAGGAUCACAAGUCCAAGGACAGCCUGGGCAACUUAGCCAGAGACCCUGUCUCAAAAUAAAAAAUAGUUUUUUUAAAAAAGCCAG
rnacentral:lncRNA from 1 species